AUGUGCUGGGGAGAAGCCCAGCCCAGCAACAUGCGGCAGGACCACAUCUCGGCAGAGCUGCCACAAACAGAGUGAAUGCAGAGCCAUCAAGAGCCAAGUUCUACAAGAGAUAAAUCAGCUGAGACUACCACUAGACAUCUGCAAGCAGAAGAUUAGGAGAGUAAAUUUGCGAGACACAUAUGCAUAUGACCCAGAAACCAAGUUGCGUGAAACUACCAUGGUUUGUGCCUCGAUAGGUUGAACAAGGACAUGGUGAGAAGACAGCCAUCUGCAAGCCAGAAAGAGCGCUAACCAGAACGCAACCAUGUGGAUACCCCGAUCUCAUAGUCCCAGCCUCCAAAACUGUGGGCCUCUCCCAGAUGGCAACUUGUUUAUCAAAGCAUGAAAACCAAGAAGGUGAUAAAGAAAGUCUGCUAGCAAGACAUAAGUCACAAUCUUUUGUAAUCUAUUUAUGAAAGUGACAUCCCAUCAUCUUGACCACAAUCUAUUGAUUAGAAACAAGUACAGCUCACCCUCAACAAGAGGAGAUAAUAUCCAGGUGUGAAUUGCACAAGACUAAUCCAGUGGAAAAACUAUAUUCGACCCAAGGAUCUGUAUCCACACAGUUUGACAAUAAUUUACUUCUUUCUGGAAGCGAUGAGCACAGUGUAAUUCCUGAGAAAUUUUAAUAAUGAUAUUUUAAUUAUAAUUAAGUGAAACCUAGCAAAGUUGGCUGUAUCUGGAGGAACUCCACUGUGGGAAACAGAUUCUUAAGAUGGCUGAAGAUGGCUGUUUCGCUGCAUCAAUGUGUGACUUUCAAUAGAUGAUCGAAGAUGGCUGUUUGGCACUGUGUCUGAAUUAAGCCAGAAGGAAGGAGGAAGAAGAUGAAGAAAAGGCAUGCCUCUACCCCUUAGGACCACGUCUCUGAAGCUGUAUACAACAUUUCUGCUCUCAUAUAAUUGGGCAGAACUUAGUCAUAGAGCUACAUGUAGUUGCAAGGGAAGCUAUAUGCACUAAUGUGCUUAGUUAAACAUUGGGAUUCUCUUACUAAGGUACAUAAGGAGAACAUAUAUUUGGAGAGGCAACUAUCCAUCUCUGCCACAAGAUCUGAAACAAUUAUUGUGAGACUAUAAACAUAGAAAAAAGCUCCAGAGAUCAGGGGGAAGUCAGAAAUUAUUUGGGAUUCCAGUGAAUGGAAUGUUGACCAUAAAUGAGAAAUGAUGCUUGGGAUAAUUCCUAGCGAGCAUUGGCUUUUAGAGUUGGGAUUGAAGUCAACCAGCUAUAAAGAGCAAGACUGGGUGGGGUACUUUGAAAUGUCAUAUCAUUGUGUAUGGCUUUUGUGGUAGUUACUGCUUCUUUUUAGAAUAAUUCUCAUAACUAGGUAGAAAGCUCACCUUUGAAACUUCUGCAUGCCUAAUAAAAUGCUUCACUCACACCC
rnacentral:lncRNA from 1 species